rnacentral:rRNA from 1 species
UACGAAGGGGGCUAGCGUUGUUCGGAAUCACUGGCCGUAAACCGCACGUAGGCGGCGCGUUAAGUCAGGGGUGAAAUCCUGGAGCUCAACUCCAGAACUGCCUUUGAUACUGGCGUGCUCGAGUGUGGGAGAGGGUGGUGGAACUCCGAGUGUAGAGGUGAAAUUCGUAGAUAUUCUGAAGAACAACAGUGGCGAAGGCGGCCAACUGGCCCAUUACUGACGCUGAGGUGCGAAAGCGUGGGGAGCAAACAGG